rnacentral:ncRNA from 1 species
UGACGAUGCAGGGAGUGAUCCGCUGUACACUCGCAUCACCGAACGAAAGUUUAAGCGGCAUGUGCUGUCGCCGGCUGCGAGGAUUAAGGCCGCAACAAGCGGCCUUUAAUUUUAGG